rnacentral:rRNA from 1 species
CUGGAAAGUCCGACGAUACAGGGUGAUAGUCCCGUAGUUGACGACGUGUGUUCAGUGAAAUCGAGUAGGGCGGGACACGUGAUAUCCUGUCUGAAUAUGGGGGGACCAUCCUCCAAGGCUAAAUACUACUGACUGACCGAUAGUGAACCAGUACCGUGAGGGAAAGGCGAAAAGAACCCCUGUGAGGGGAGUGAAAUAGAACCUGAAACCGUGUACGUACAAGCAGUAGGAGCAGGCUUUGUCCUGUGACUGCGUACCUUUUGUAUAAUGGGUCAGCGACUUAUAUUCAGUGGCAAGGUUAACCAUCUAGGGGAGCCGUAGGGAAACCGAGUCUUAACUGGGCGUUCAGUCUCUGGAUAUAGACCCGAAACCAGGUGAUCUAGCCAUGGGCAGGUUGAAGGUUGAGUAACAUCAACUGGAGGACCGAACCGACUAAUGUUGAAAAAUUAGCGGAUGACUUGUGGCUAGGGGUGAAAGGCCAAUCAAACCUGGAGAUAGCUGGUUCUCCCCGAAAGCUAUUUAGGUAGCGCCUCGGACGAAUACUACUGGGGGUAGAGCACUGUUAAGGCUAGGGGGUCAUCCCGACUUACCAACCCUUUGCAAACUCCGAAUACCAGUAAGUACUAUCCGGGAGACACACGGCGGGUGCUAACGUCCGUCGUGGAGAGGGAAACAACCCAGACCGCCAGCUAAGGUCCCAAAUUACUACUAAGUGGGAAACGAUGUGGGAAGGCUCAGACAGCCAGGAUGUUGGCUUAGAAGCAGCCAUCAUUUAAAGAAAGCGUAAUAGCUCACUGGUCGAGUCGGCCUGCGCGGAAGAUGUAACGGGGCUAAGUAGUAAACCGAAGCUGCGGCAAUACUCUUUGAGUAUUGGGUAGGGGAGCGUUCUGUAAGCGGUUGAAGGUGUGUGGUAACGCAUGCUGGACGUAUCAGAAGUGCGAAUGCUGACAUGAGUAACGAUAAAGGGGGUGAAAAACCUCCUCGCCGGAAGACCAAGGGUUCCUGUCCAACGUUAAUCGGGGCAGGGUAAGUCGACCCCUAAGGCGAGGCCGAAAGGCGUAGUCGAUGGGAAACGGGUUAAUAUUCCCGUACUUCUUACAAUUGCGAUGGGGGGACGGAGAAGGCUAGGUGGGCCUGGCGACGGUUGUCCAGGUUCAAGUGCGUAGGCUUAAGAGUUAGGUAAAUCCGGCUCUUUCUAAGGCUGAGACACGACGUCGAGCACCUACGGGUGUGAAGUCAUUGAUGCCAUGCUUCCAGGAAAAGCCUCUAAGCUUCAGAUUGUAAGGAAUCGUACCCCAAACCGACACAGGUGGUCGGGUAGAGAAUACCAAGGCGCUUGAGAGAACUUNNNNNNNNNNNNNNNNNNNNNNNNNNNNNNNNNNNNNNNNNNNNNNNNNNNNNNNNNNNNNNNNNNNNNNNNNNNNNNNNNNNNAGAGAGUCGCAGAUACCAGGUGGCUGCAACUGUUUAUUAAAAACACAGCACUGUGCAAAAUCGUAAGAUGACGUAUACGGUGUGACGCCUGCCCGGUGCCGGAAGGUUAAUUGAUGGGGUUAGACUUCGGUCGAAGCUCUUGAUCGAAGCCCCGGUAAACGGCGGCCGUAACUAUAACGGUCCUAAGGUAGCGAAAUUCCUUGUCGGGUAAGUUCCGACCUGCACGAAUGGCGUAAUGAUGGCCACGCUGUCUCCACCCGAGACUCAGUGAAAUUGAAAUCGCUGUGAAGAUGCAGUGUACCCGCGGCUAGACGGAAAGACCCCGUGAACCUUUACUACAGCUUGGCACUGAACAUUGACCCUACAUGUGUAGGAUAGGUGGGAGGCUUUGAAGCACGUACGCCAGUAUGUGUGGAGCCGUCCUUGAAAUACCACCCUUGUAGUGUUGAUGUUCUAACGUCGACCCCUAAUCGGGGUUGCGGACAGUGCCUGGUGGGUAGUUUGACUGGGGCGGUCUCCUCCCAAAGAGUAACGGAGGAGCACGAAGGUGGGCUAAUCACGGUUGGACAUCGUGAGGUUAGUGCAAUGGCAUAAGCCCGCUUGACUGCGAGAAUGACAAUUCGAGCAGGUGCGAAAGCAGGUCAUAGUGAUCCGGUGGUUCUGAAUGGAAGGGCCAUCGCUCAACGGAUAAAAGGUACUCCGGGGAUAACAGGCUGAUACCGCCCAAGAGUUCAUAUCGACGGCGGUGUUUGGCACCUCGAUGUCGGCUCAUCACAUCCUGGGGCUGAAGUCGGUCCCAAGGGUAUGGCUGUUCGCCAUUUAAAGUGGUACGCGAGCUGGGUUUAGAACGUCGUGAGACAGUUCGGUCCCUAUCUGCCGUGGGCGUUGGAAGAUUGAAGGGGGCUGCUCCUAGUACGAGAGGACCGGAGUGGACGAACCUCUGGUGUUCGGGUUGUGUCGCCAGACGCAUUGCCCGGUAGCUAAGUUCGGAAUCGAUAACCGCUGAAAGCAUCUAAGCGGGAAGCGAGCCCUGAGAUGAGUCUUCCCUGAUACUUUAAGUAUCCUAAAGGGUUGUCGGAGACUACGACGUUGAUAGGUCAGGUGUGUAAGUGCUGUGAGGCAUUGAGCUAACUGAUACUAAUUGCCCGUGAGGCUUAACCAUACAACACCCAAGGGGUUU